AGUGAGGUGCAUUCCAGUCAUCCGCAACAAGAGCACACUCAGUUUUUGAAGGAAUGAACAGGAAACCAGAAGACAGCGAAGCAGGAUGUUUUCAUAUAACACCCUUUUGCUUGGCAGAGGAAACAACAGAGCUGCUUACUUCCAAGAACAUCCUAUAAGAGCUCUGAAGAUGCUAGCAAUCCUCACCACAGACAGGAUCUGCACAGCUUGCCAUGCCUAGAUGCCUGUCCAGUGCAGAUGUAAAGUUACCUAUACUAUCCCCCUUUUUUGCUCCUCCUGUUUAUAUCCAAUAAAUAUUUUUUUAAUCAACGUUAAGAGUGCAAGCAUCUUUCUUAUGGAGAUCUGUAAGAAACACCUGCACUAGUGUGCUAUACCUGUUCAGAUAUUACCUUUCCUAAAUGUCCCGAUUAUUGGAAUAAUAUGGAAAGAAACAGACUGGAACUUCCUCCCACAAACAGACUGGAGAAGAAAAAACAACGAAAAAGAGACAUUUGCAGAGGUAAAUACAAUAGAAGCCGGUUAAACCCUGAAGCAGAUGGGAAGCAGAAGAGUAUGUUA